UCCACACGGAGAACCGGAGAGCGUUUCAUCCUCUUCACCUUUUCUGUUCAUGCGCAUGCAAGUUUGUUUUCACGGAGGAUGCAAUAUUUUGUUCAGACACUGACAGAAAUGAACCCAAUAUCAUUUCGUACAAGAACCUGCUAAAUCUAAAAAUAUAUAUAUUUUUAAUAUUAGGCUACUAAAAGGUAUUAUUUUUGUUUCUCUCAUAUGCAAGAACGAUGGAUUUAGUUUUCGUUGCCAAUGAUAAAUAAGCCUUUGCCAAAGAACAAAACAUUGUUUUGGGAGAUGGGCACUGCAAUGGAUUCUAAGAAAAAAGAUGAGAAGAAAAAUUCAAGAAAAAGGAGAUCGCUUCGGAUAAACAUGCCUGACUUGAGCUCCUUAGCCAUGCCGUUCCUGGAAGGAGACGGGGAACAUGUGAAAAAGGACGGUGUGUGCAAGGGGGAGUUUAGCUGCCAUUCAGCCAGCCCGACCAAAACCUUCUUCAGCAGGGGUCCAUUUAGUCGGCCCUCUAGCCCCAUGUCUGCACCGGCCCGAUUCAGAAACAGCCCUGGAUCGCCAAAACCCAUCUUCCCAUACUCCUCCAAUCACGACUCCUCGCCCAAGUGUUCACGUCGCCGCAGCUUCACAGGAAUCUUUCGCUCGUCCUCUAAAGACUCCACAAAUGCCUCCACUUCUCCUGUCAGCAUCAAACUCUUCUCUCGGGCCAGGAAAGCCUCUGGUAUAUCCUCAUCACCCACCACACCAACACAACUCACCAAGCAGACUUCAGCAUUUCUUCUGGAAGCCAGUCGGAAUGACACAGUGCAGCGCUCCUCCUCCUCCCCCCUCGACACGGGACAACACCACAGCCCGCCUGCCGCAAAACCACCGCCCUGUCCCUGCUCAGCACCUCUAUCUACCUCACGUGCGGUCCACGGUUUAUCUGAAGACAUGCUGGAGAAACUCGAUCUCGAGGAUGAAGCUGUUGAACAAUCUGAGAGUGACAUUUACAUGCGGUUUAUGAAGUCACAUAAGUGCUACGACAUCGUCCCUACCAGCUCCAAGCUAGUGGUCUUUGACACAACACUGCAGGUAAAAAAGGCCUUUUUUGCCUUGGUGGCCAAUGGGGUCCGAGCUGCCCCUCUGUGGGAGACCAAGAAACAGAGUUUUGUGGGCAUGCUAACCAUCACAGACUUCAUCAACAUACUUCACAGAUACUACAAAUCACCCAUGGUACAAAUCUAUGAGCUUGAGGAGCAUAAAAUUGAGACGUGGAGAGAGCUGUAUCUACAAGAAACAUUCAAGCCUUUGGUGAACAUAUCUCCAGAUGCAAGCAUAUUUGAUGCUGUGUAUUCACUGAUCAAAAACAAGAUCCACCGGUUACCCGUCAUCGACCCUGUCAGUGGAAAUGCACUUUACAUUUUGACGCACAAAAGGAUCCUGAAAUUCCUUCAGCUGUUUGUGUGUGAGAUGCCAAAGCCCGCCUUUAUGAAGCAGACGCUGGAGGAGCUGAGCAUCGGGACCUACAGCAACAUCGCCUUCAUCCACCCCAACACCCCAAUCAUCACUGCACUCAGCAUCUUUGUGGAGAGGAGAGUGUCAGCGCUGCCUGUGGUGGACGAGUCCGGAAAAGUUGUAGAUAUUUAUUCCAAAUUUGAUGUCAUUAAUCUUGCUGCUGAAAAGACGUACAACAACCUUGACAUUAAUGUGACACAGGCGCUGAUGCACAGGUCACAGUACUUUGAAGGGGUCAUGAAGUGCAACAGACUUGAGACACUGGAAACGAUAGUAGAUCGGAUAGUCAAGGCUGAGGUGCACAGGCUGGUGGUGGUGGAUGAGAACGGCAGCAUCGUGGGCAUCGUUUCUCUGUCGGACAUCCUCCAGGCACUUGUUCUCAACCCCGCAGGUAUCAAUGCUCAGCAUUCCUAAACUACACUUCCAGCAGGACCCUCCUCCUCCCAACCUCUCUCGCCCGAGCCACAGAACCAGACGGGAUUGGCUUUGAUUCCAGAGGGCAGUGUAUGACCAGGAAGGAGAGCAAAGCGGAGACGGAGUGAUGCGUGCCGAGAUUGCUGGGUCAUGUGACGUUGCUGUCAGAGACUGAAGUAGAAGCGGUGACCACAAGUUUGCGCCACAUGUCAGAAUGAAAGCGUGGGACCAACGAACUUGACCUAGAUGUGUGCUGUUAGAGGGCAAAAGCAGGGGUGUAUGGGUACACGGACUGCUUGAUUCGGCUGUUAUCUGAUUUAUAGAUGGACGUAGUGGAUCAUCUCUUAUUCAGAAGGAUACUGUGAACUCUGCCUAUUUUAUCACACUUAAGCUUCUGCACGCACACUAUGGUAACUAUAUUUUUACCUAGACCUAAAACAACGCCAUCUGGUGUCUGAGUAGUGGUCUGCACACAGACUACGGAUUGUACCAUAAUCGCCUCUGUUGGAGGGGGGGGUGGCAUUCAGUAAUAAUCUCAGUAUCCAGUGCAUGUUAUGACGAUGUGUUCCUCGUUUAUAUACGAUUUUCAUCUUGUGGAGUAUGAGUCCGCUUCAGAUAUUUGUACUUUUCACUACUCCUGAAUUUAGGAACUCGUUUAGUCUUUCUCCGCCACAGUCCCUUUGUAAAUGGAGACAGAAAUGGUUUCCUCUGUAUCUGUCGAUGGUGCCUUCUGUCCAGCAGUUAUCGCCCACUACUGGUUGCCAACGGAACAAGAUUAAUUGAAUGUUUAAAUAAAUCGAAGUGAAUGUUACAGUUGUAAAAAACAACAACAAAAAAAAAAAGCCCCCUUUUGCUUUUUUUGGUGUGUGUCACUACUUGUAUUUAUUGCAGAGCUCUACAUUUCUUCACUUUGGGUGUUCAUGAUUUUUCUUGAUGUUUUUGAAAGGAUGCUGUAUAUGAUAAUGAAAACGUUUAUUUAUUUAUAUUUAGCACUUUUGUAAUUUUGAGAGUGAUGUCUAAGUGUGAGAAUGGAAAAGCCCCUAUGCAGUAAAACCACGUGCUGAUCAAUGACUUGAUGUUCGAUGCAAUUCAACCUUAAAAUCCCACUUUUCUUUUUCCUGUCCAUGAGGUUACUGACCUCUUGCUUGUAUCGACUGUACUGUACACACACGCAGAGCUGUCUGAGGAAUCUACAAGUGCCAGAGAAAGGUCUAUUUUUCUGUGUUUUAAAUGUUGUUUGUAAUACUUCACAUUUUAAGUUCUCCUCAUGUUUUACAGCUAUGUUAGUGUUGUCAUUAUAAAAAGAGAAAUGUCCAGAGAUAAAUGCAUAUCACUGGCAUGAGAUGCUGAUGGAUAAUCAUGAUUUAUAGUCAUUUUUAUUUUGUCUUACAGGUAAAUAAACAUGAAUAAACUAA